UACGUAGGGCGCAAGCGUUGUCCGGAAUUAUUGGGCGUAAAGAGCUCGUAGGUGGCUUGUCACGUCGGGUGUGAAAGCUUGGGGCUUAACUCCAGGUCUGCAUUCGAUACGGGCUGGCUAGAGGUAGGUAGGGGAGAACGGAAUUCCUGGUGUAGCGGUGAAAUGCGCAGAUAUCAGGAGGAACACCGGUGGCGAAGGCGGUGCUCUGGGCCUUACCUGACGCUGAGGAGCGAAAGCGUGGGGAGCGAACAGG
rnacentral:rRNA from 1 species